GACGAACGCUGGCGGCGUGCUUAACACAUGCAAGUCGAACGGAAAGGCCCUGCUUUUGUGGGGUGCUCGAGUGGCGAACGGGUGAGUAACACGUGAGUAACCUGCCCUUGACUUUGGGAUAACUUCAGGAAACUGGGGCUAAUACCGGAUAGGAGCUCCUGCUGCAUGGUGGGGGUUGGACAGUUUCGGCGGUUGGGGAUGGACUCGCGGCUUAUCAGCUUGUUGGUGGGGUAGUGGCUUACCAAGGCUUUGACGGGUAGCCGGCCUGAGAGGGUGACCGGCCACAAUGGGACUGAGAGACGGCCCAGACGCCUACGGGAGGCAGAAGUGGGGAAUAUUGCACAAUGGGCGGAAGCCUGAUGCAGCAACGCCGCGUGCGGGAUGACGGCCUUCGGGUUGUAAACCGCUUUCGCCUGUGACGAAGCGUGAGUGACGGUAAUGGGUAAAGAAGCACCGGCUAACUACGUG
rnacentral:rRNA from 1 species